rnacentral:rRNA from 1 species
AUUGAACGCUGGCGGCAGGCCUAACACAUGCAAGUCGAACGAGUGGCGGACGGGUGAGCAAUGUCUGGGAAACUGCCUGAUGGAGGGGGAUAACUACUGGAAACGGUAGCUACUACCGCAUACCAUCGGAUGUGCCCAGGUGGGAUUAGCUAGUAGGUGGGGUAAAGGCUCACCUAGGCGACGAUCCCUAGCUGGUCUGCGAGGAUGACCAGCCACACUGGCACUGAGACACGGUCCAGACUCCUACGGGAGGCAGCAGUGGGGAAUAUUUCCCAAUGGGCGCAAGCCUGAUGCAGCAAUGCCGCGUGAAUGAAGAAGGCCUUCGGGUUGUAAAGUACUUUCGGCGGGGAGGCGUUACCCGCAGAAGAAGCACCGGCUAACUCCGUGCCAGCAGCCGCGGUAAUUC